UACAGAGGUCCCGAGCGUUGUUCGGAUUCACUGGGCGUAAAGGGUGCGUAGGCGGUCGGGUAAGUCUGAUGUGAAAUCUCACAGCUUAACUGUGAAACUGCAUUGGAUACUAUUCGGCUUGAGAGUUGGAGGGGGGACUGGAAUUCUUGGUGUAGCAGUGAAAUGCGUAGAUAUCAAGAGGAACACCAGUGGCGAAGGCGAGUCCCUGGACAACUUCUGACGCUGAGGCGCGAAAGCGAGGGGAGCAAACAGG
rnacentral:rRNA from 1 species